GGUAGCUGACCAGGUUGCCUGCAAAGUCCGAUUUCCGCAACGAUUCAACGUGGUUUUUUCUGGCUCUGCUAAGGGCGUAGGUCGUCUAAACAACGGCGCGAGGGUUCAAAUCCCUCCUACUCCGCCA
rnacentral:tRNA from 1 species